CGUUGUAAACUUCAUAACUCUAACAGUUAUAUUUUCCGUCAGUUGACCAAACAUAUAUUUGCAACACUGGAAAACAGUAUAAAACAAACCUUGACAGGAAUACAUUAGUUGUCAAUAAAACGUUUCUAAACAGAAUUUCAUCCAAACCUGAUUUAUAAUGUAUAUUUUUAUUUUCCGAAUUUGUAGAUUAGCUGACAUUAUAGAAGUUAUCUUCGUUGUUUAUUGUUGUGUAGAUUUUAAACACACCUAGGAGACUUUUUGUCUACUGAUUUCAUAAGCAGUUAAAGUUUAUUGAAAUUCUUUAGCUUAUUGCAAAUUAUGUGUGAGAUUACUUAAUUUGUAUUUAGCAUGCAGAAUGCUCACUUCCGUCAGCUUUAUUGUUGAUGUUAAUAAUUAGUAUAAUUACGAUACAUAUGUGUGUGUGUAUGUGUGUAUGUAUUUAUGUAUGUGCGCGUGCGCGCAAGUCUUGCCAAACGAGUAGAAUGUUUUGCUGAAGAGUUCUAAUAAAAACGAAAAGUGUCUUGAUUUUGCAAGUUAGGCUUAAAAAAGAAUGUCACUACCAUCUGCAUUAAUUUUUAUUUUCCAAAAUUUCACUUAGCUCAUAUUAUUAGUUUUUUUUCCUUGAUAGUUUUUAGAUUCUAACCUCCAUACUGACGUAAAUUUAGUCUAUGAAUUUCAUAGAUAACCUCAAUUGAUCGAAGUUUUUCAACUCAUUAUAAUUAUAUUACAUAUGUGAGAUCCUUCCGUACAUAGAACUCUUCUCUGGAGUACUUUCCUUCAGACUUAUUAUUAAUAGUCCUGAUGUAUAUUAACAGCUAGGACCACCUAAAAUUUGCAAAAUUAUAACAAACACUAUCCAAAAUUCCAAAACAAAACAAUUUCCUCCAAAAGGUAAUAACCACGAAAAGAAAGAAAAAAACUCGAUUGUUCUAUGAAUAGUGAUGUUGAAUACAAACUGCAAAGGUCUGCUGAGAAAACGAGCAAUUCUCAACAAAAAAGAUAAAAGUCAUGUUUUUUUUAAUGUUUUAAUGAAGUGAUGUAACUUAUACUAUCUCUAUCCAACUCUCUUACAUGAUUUUUCUUUCAAAGAACAAGAAGGUGAAACAUUUUAUUUUAUU